UGCCAGACUCCUACGGGAGGCAGCAGUGAGGAAUAUUGGUCAAUGGCCGAGAGGCUGAACCAGCCAAGUCGCGUGAGGGAAGACGGCCCUACGGGUUGUAAACCUCUUUUGUCGGGGAGCAAAGCGAACCACGUGUGGUUCAUUGAGAGUACCCGAAGAAAAAGCAUCGGCUAACUCCGUGCCAGCAGCCGCGGUAAUACGGAGGAUGCGAGCGUUAUCCGGAUUUAUUGGGUUUAAAGGGUGCGUAGGCGGACUGUUAAGUCAGCGGUAAAAGCCCGGGGCUCAACCCUGGCGAGCCGUCGAAACUGGCUGUCUUGAGAUGUCGAGAGGUAUGCGGAAUGCGCAGUGUAGCGGUGAAAUGCUUAGAUAUUGCGCAGAACUCCGAUUGCGAAGGCAGCAUACCGGCGGCGAUCUGACGCUGAGGCACGAAAGCGUGGGUAUCGAACAGGAUUAGAUACCCCCGUA
rnacentral:rRNA from 1 species